rnacentral:rRNA from 1 species
UACGGAGGAUGCGAGCGUUAUCCGGAUUUAUUGGGUUUAAAGGGUGCGUAGGCGGUAUGGUAAGUCAGCGGUAAAAGCCCGGGGCUCAACCCCGGCGAGCCGUUGAAACUGCCGUGCUAGAGAGGAAGAGAAGUAUGCGGAAUGCGCGGUGUAGCGGUGAAAUGCAUAGAUAUCGCGCAGAACUCCGAUUGCGAAGGCAGCAUGCCGGCUCCACACUGACGCUGAGGCACGAAAGCGUGGGUAUCGAACAGG